rnacentral:rRNA from 1 species
AUUGAACGCUGGCGGCAGGCCUAACACAUGCCAGUCGAACGGUAACAGGAAGAAGCUUGCUUCUUUGCUGACGAGUGGCGGACGGGUGAGUAAUGUCUGGGAAACUGCCUGAUGGAGGGGGAUAACUACUGGAAACGGUAGCUAAUACCGCAUAACGUCGCAAGACCAAAGAGGGGGACCUUCGGGCCUCUUGCCAUCGGAUGUGCCCAGAUGGGAUUAGCUAGUAGGUGGGGUAACGGCUCACCUAGGCGACGAUCCCUAGCUGGUCUGAGAAGAUGACCAGCCACACUGGAACUGAGACACGGUCCAGACUCCUACGGGAGGCAGCAGUGGGGAAUAUUGCACAAUGGGCGCAAGCCUGAUGCAGCCAUGCCGCGUGUAUGAAGAAGGCCUUCGGGUUGUAAAGUACUUUCAGCGGGGAGGAAGGGAGUAAAGUUAAUACCUUUACUCAUUGACGUUACCCGCAGAAGAAGCACCGGCUAACUCCGUG